GACGAACGCUGGCGGCGUGCUUAACACAUGCAAGUCGAACGGAAAGGCCCUGCUUGCAGGGUACUCGAGUGGCGAACGGGUGAGUAACACGUGGGUGAUCUGCCCUGCACUUCGGGAUAAGCCUGGGAAACUGGGUCUAAUACCGGAUAGGAGCCAUUUUUAGUGUGAUGGUUGGAAAGUUUUUUCGGUGUAGGAUGAGCUCGCGGCCUAUCAGCUUGUUGGUGGGGUAAUGGCCUACCAAGGCGGCGACGGGUAGCCGGCCUGAGAGGGUGGACGGCCACCUUGGGACUUAGGGACGGCCCAGACGCCGACGGGAGGAAGCAGGGGGGAAUAUUGCACAAUGGGCGCAAGCCUGAUGCAGCGACGCCGCGUGGGGGAUGACGGCCUUCGGGUUGUAGACUCCUUUCGCUAGGGACGAAGCUUUUUGUGACGGUACCUAGAUAAGAAGCACCGGCUAACUACGUG
rnacentral:rRNA from 1 species